rnacentral:rRNA from 1 species
GACUGACCCAGCCAUGCCGCGUGCAGGAAGACGGCCCUCUGGGUUGUAAACUGCUUUUAUCUGGGAAGAAAAAGUCCAUGCGUGGAAAAUUGCCGGUACCAGAUGAAUAAGCACCGGCUAACUCCGUGCCAGCAGCCGCGGUAAUACGGAGGGUGCAAGCGUUGUCCGGAUUUAUUGGGUUUAAAGGGUGCGUAGGCGGCUGAAUAAGUCAGCGGUGAAAGACUUCGGCUUAACCGGAGCAGUGCCGUUGAUACUGUUUAGCUUGAGUGUUGGAGGGGUACAUGGAAUUGAUGGUGUAGCGGUGAAAUGCAUAGAUACCAUCAGGAACACCGAUAGCGAAGGCAUUGUACUGGCCAACAACUGACGCUGAGGCACGAAAGUGUGGGGAUCGAACAGGAUUAGAUACCCUGGUAGUCCACACCGUAAACGAUGAUUACUCGCUGUUAUGGUGUAUGCUGUAGCGGCCAAGCGAAAGCGUUAAGUAAUCCACCUGGGGAGUACGCCGGCAACGGUGAA